rnacentral:sRNA from 1 species
GUUUGUUUACAAUUUCAAAUGUACUGGGUGAAUAAAGUUGCAAAGUUCUUUGAUAUUUUUGGUACACUGCAAACUGUGCAGGGACUGGUGUUUGCAGCUUUAAUUUGGUGAAGGUUCUAAGGACCAUGCCAGUGCCUUUUGGGAGGCGAUGAAAACAUUUGCGCAAAGGUAUCGUAAAUUGCUGCAUAAGCAUCUUUUACAGCUAGAUUGGAUGGAAUAAUGCACCCAUCAUCGGCGGCUUGCUUAGCGAAGUAAUCAGCAAGUUCGCUUGAGGAGAUUUUCUUUUUAUGCAUUUUAAAUUCAGCAAUUCAGCUGCGCUUUUGCCAGACAUUUUCCAUUGUUGUUGGUUGGCAACACCACAUGACAACAUUGGCUAAAAAACAAAUUGCUGCAAAUUAUUAUAUAUAUUAUGAAAAGUAUAUCUUAAUCGUAUAAUAUGAAAAAGAUGGGACAUUUCAUUGUUAGUUUGAUUCAAAAGAUGGCGUUGGUAGAAGUAAAAAAUGUUAUGCCACCAUAUUGUGACAUAAGCAUUACCGACACUUUUUUUAAGAUUUUAUGUACAGGAAACAGAUUUUUGAGACCAUGUAUAUCGUAUCUGAUGCUUUUCUUCGCAUGCAUGUUUCUGUAAUAAUUUCAAUGCAUUAUUUGCCUGAUCGAAACGAUAUACAUUUUCUUUAUGGUUGAAAUAUAUAUGGGAGUUAUAGCUACACAUUAAACGAUUUUCAACAAAUUUUAUAUACUUGCUUCUAGUCUAAAUUCAUCCUAUUUAGGCUAAUGUUACAAAUUUUGUGAACAAUGUACUUGAAAUUGGACGAAGAUAUAUGGCAGCUAUAUUCUAAUCUAACUAGAUUUUUUUAAGCUGCCAAAGGAAAUCGGUAACUUUAAAACUCAAUAUUUUGAUUUAAAAAAGAAGUAAAAGUUGGCAACAUUGGUAUCUAUCGGUAUUUUAUGUGCGUAUUUCAUCAAUGAAAUAAAAUGGAUGUAUAUGGCAAAAAUUAACUUUUUAUACUAUUAAAAGAAUUAGCGCAAUAUAGUAUUACUUUCGUAAGCUUAUUAUUAUUUUUAAGCUUAUAGAAUAAUAAAAUAA